CUCCCUCGUUGCUGACCCCAGGUUCGGUAGUACCAAUUAGGCAUCACCCGCCAAGAACCAACUUCGAUGAAGCGACGGGCGGUGUGUGCAAGGAGCAGGG
rnacentral:rRNA from 1 species